AUUGAACGCUGGCGGCAGGCCUAACACAUGCAAGUCGAGCGAGCGGCGGACGGGUGAGUAAUGUCUGGGAAACUGCCUGAUGGCGGGGGAUAACUACUGGAAACGGUAGCUAAUACCGCAUACCAUCAGCUGUGCCCAGAUGGGAUUAGCUGGUCGGUGGGGUAACGGCUCACCUAGGCGACGAUCCCUAGCUGGUCUGAGAGGAUGACCAGCCACAAUGGAACUGCGACACGGUCCAGACUCCUACGGGAGGCAGCAGUGGGGAAUAUUGCACAAUGGGCGCAAGCCGGAUGCAGCCAGGCCGCGUGUGUGAAGAAGGCCUUCGGGUGGUAAAGCACUUUCAGCGGGGAGGCGGUACCCGCAGAAGAAGCACCGGCUAACUCCGUGCCAGCAGCCGCGGUAAUAC
rnacentral:rRNA from 1 species